rnacentral:rRNA from 1 species
CGGGGUGCAGCAGGCGCGAAAACUUUACAAUGCGGGAAACCGUGAUAAGGGGACACCGAGUGCCAGCAUCAUAUGCUGGCUGUCCAGGUGUGUAAAAUACACCUGUCAGCAAGGGCCGGGCAAGACCGGUGCCAGCCGCCGCGGUAACACCGGCGGCCCGAGUGGUGAUCGUGAUUAUUGGGUCUAAAGGGUCCGUAGCCGGUUUGGUCAGUCCUCCGGGAAAUCUGACGGCUCAACCGUUAGGCUUUCGGGGGAUACUGCCAGGCUUGGAACCGGGAGAGGUAAGAGGUACUACAGGGGUAGGAGUGAAAUCUUGUAAUCCCUGUGAGACCACCUGUGGCGAAGGCGUCUUACCAGAACGGGUUUGACGGUGAGGGACGAAAGCUGGGGGCACGAACCGGAUUAGAUACCCGGGUAGUCCCAGCCGUAAACGAUGCUCGCUAGGUGUCAGGCAUGGCGCGACCGUGUCUGGUGCCGCAGGGAAGCCGUGAAGCGAGCCACCUGGGAAGUACGGCCGCAAGGCUGAAACUUAAAGGAAUUGGCGGGGGAGCAAAGGGCGAAUCG